CAGCAUCAGUCCUUCUAAUGAACAUUCAGGACUGAUUUCCUUUAGCAUUGACUGGUUGGAUCUCCUUGCUGUCCAGAGGACUCUCAAGAGUCUUCUCCAAUACCACAGUUCAAAAGCAUCAAUUCUUUGGUACUCAGCUUUCUUUAUAGUCCAGCUCUCACACCCAUAC